rnacentral:sRNA from 1 species
UAUAGAUAAACAGGCACGGGCGUUGAGGUAACUCUGCGCCCGUGUAAUUAUUUUGAUGGCAGGAAGAUACGA